rnacentral:lncRNA from 1 species
UUGACUCAAGGUUGUCGGACUAUAGCAUAUUUUGUGGUUAACAAAGAGAGUUGGAAGACUUCCAUACAGUAAAAGUAAGAUAACAAGACAAAUAGCAUGUAAUGUUGUACCAUUAGCUUUUCUGUGGAUCGUACGCAGGGAAAAAAAUAGGAGAGAGUUUGAGGGUGUUGGAGAUAAUUUUGCACAUUUGAGGAAUAGUUUAUUGUCUUUGAUUGCUUUUUCGUGCACUCGUAAUUUUCCUAUUCGUAUUGAUGACUGGGUGUCUUUGGUAAAAAUUAAAGAAUCAUAUUUUGAUAUAGAUUCUCUACUUUGUUGUGUACCUCUUCUAAAGUUAAUGGGAAAAGAAAAAGAGAAGCUUUAGAAUGGGAAGAUAAAAAAUCUAUGAGAAUCUAACAUUGGUGUUGAUUAAUUGAAAUACUACCUCUUUUUAUCAUUGGCUAAUUAUGAUGAGUGUCUUAGGGUUUAGGGUGAAGUUGUGGAGCUGAGCUGUCUUUUUUGUCAUAUCUGUUCCUUCUUCCACCUUUGAGUUGGGAAUUUAAACUACAACUGUGGAGAGGGUUUUAUUAGUUUUUACUUUUAUAUUUUUACUUCAUCAAAAAUUUUGGAGGUUGACAGUACCAAUGGAACUCCCUUAUUCCCACUCUGAUUAUCUGUGGAAACCAUUACAUCACUUUUUCUUUUUAACAGUUUACCUUGAUGAGAAACUUCUAAGCCAUCAUCCUAGAAAACUAAAUAGUACCUUACCAAACCCAAAAGAAGUAGAAUAAUGAAGGCUCUCGAUACUCCAUGACUGAAGAAAAAUUAAAAGUGAGGUUGGACAUGUAUAAUAUAUGCUGAAACUUCCUUCUCUUCUGUUACCAAGUUGAGAGCGGAUAUUUUUUCUUACGAUUACUGUUCAAGUGGUUGAAUAAAAUCCAGGAAUUAUAGCAAUACAUUACCAAAAAUAAAGCUCCUUGAAUAUGGUCUGCUUAGUCCAUUGUCUUUCUUUUUAUUUGAAUCACAUAGCAUACCAAGAAAUAUUUUCUUCCGAAUGUGGCUUUACAUGUGUUAUGUACUGUUCUUUCUUUUUCUAAGUUCUAUACCAUUUUGUUGCCAUUCUUCCAUCUAGGUAAUCGUUUUUUCCUUGUUUUACAUCUAUUUUCAUGUGUUUUCAUUCAGUGUACUUAGAUUUUCGGUUCAAAAAGGUUUUCUUGCCGGAGGAUAAAUUUGAAUUUCUGUUUGUUUCAACUGGAGCUACACUUUCUGUUUGUGAUUUAGACAUAGCUUCCGUUGAUAUAAUUAGAAUCUCUUAUUUUUGAUGAUGUGGUUUGUGCAGGAACUCUACCGAGCAGAGAGCUUCUAAUGUACAGAAGGUCAGCUGAGAAAUUAGUCAAUGCCUUUUGACAUGUUUAGUCGAUAUAUUCUGUCUUGUACUGACUCUCACAUAGCAAAAAAUGCUCUUCUUGGUUGUUUUGAAGUGUCCAGAUUGUACUAAUUCUUUUGAGAGAAAUAAU